rnacentral:hammerhead_ribozyme from 1 species
GUCUCCGACGAGUCGCAAAUAAGACGAAACGCGCGUCCUGGAU